GUAUUUGCUUUGGCAACACAUAUAUUAAAAUUGGGACAAUACAGAGAUUUGCAUGGCCCCUGUGCAAGUAUGACAUGCAAAUUUGUGAAGUGUUCCAUAUUUAA
ensembl:snRNA U6 U6 spliceosomal RNA